CUCUGCAACUCUCCUUCUCCCUCUCGACAAAACCGAGAACCACCAAAUUCCAGUUUUUUUAGUGAUUUCCAAGAAACGCAGUCUGCGAUGCCUGUUCCGUCCUGAUUUGAAGAAGAUUUCUCAAGCGACUGUAAUUUCACGUAUUAUUUUGAGGACGGAUAUGAUUUGGACAAGUUCAUCGAGCUGGUGCAACAGGCAGGCCUAUCUGUUUUUUGUUCUGUUUCUGAAACAGGGGAUUCCCAGUUCGGCUGAAAUAUAUCUCCGGAAUCGCUUUUCGAAGGACAGUGAGCCUUUCAAGGUGGGAUAUUAUAAAUCUUCCGUUUACUCCAAUUGCAAUUUAAUUUUUUUAAUAAAUAAUUUUUAAGCUAAAUUUAAUUUCUAAUUAUCUGUUACGAAGGCGGCAAUGCAAAAAUUUACAGAGAAGAUUAUCAGCAUGAUAAGAAUAACAACAUUCUCACAGGUAAUAAUUUACAGAUCCCCGAAAAAGACCCAUUUCUUGACAAUAUGUGCUUAUCAACAACUUUUAAACAUUUUAAAAGAAAUCAUACAAAGCUAAUUGUCAGAUUGCAAGAUAUUUUGAAAUACAUUACUGCAGUACAACCUUUGAAAAAAAAAAAAAAAAACUUUAACGAAAAGCUUCCGGUAAUGUUCUUUUUAACGAAAAAUUAUAUUUUUACACUAAAAAAUCAUAUUGAUACUAUUCACUUUACCCUUUAUUUGUUCUUAUCAUUAAAACUCAAAAUUUUCAGGCUUUUUUUUUGUUAAUUUUCUUAAAAAAAAAAAAUGGUUGCCAAUGAAAGAUUUGAGACCAAAAGUUAAAUUUGUAUUGCAAAAUAUGAGGUACAAAGUAUAAUACAGCAUUUAUAAAAGGAUGAUUACCCCUUCUUUUUUUUUACAUUUUUAAAGUUAAAUUUGUGUUAAAUGUAUUUGAAAACUGAAUGAAAAAAGUACCCAAUUUUUUAGCAAUUAAAAAAAAUACAGUUUUAUUCCAAUUUGUAAGCAAGGGAAAAAAAACUCUAAAGUUUCAAUGAAGAGAGAGUCAGAAGUUCUGAGUAUUUUAUACCAAAUAUUAUUUGGAAGUUUGUUAGAGUCCUAAUUUAUAUUAAAACGGUGAAAUUAUCAAAAAGACGGGUCAAAGAUCCACUUCCAACAACACAUUGUUAAUUACCAUGUGCACAACCCAUUAGGUUUAGGGUUUUAUCACAAAAGGUAUCCGUAUUAGUUUAAAACUGAUUAAGAUAUUUAAACUUUUCUUUUUUCAUAAAUACGAUCGAUGAAAGAUAUUUCAAGAAAAAUCAUAUUCUAAGUGCCUGAAAUGUUAAAAUAAUCUCUCUGUGCCUGCCCUGUAUGAGUCCAGUAUAAUAUAAUAAGAAAACGGAAAUUUUCGUAGCAGCAGUUUCCAGGAUAAGUAGUCCCCGGAUCUUUGUGUCUGUCCAUGAGCGUUACAAUUUCGAAAUGGAAAUUACGCCUAGGAAUUAUCUUAUUAUGAUGUUGAAAUAUCCAUAACUGCUUCCAAGACUUCGAUUGCGUUGCAAUUUUCUCACAGCAACUGUGCAGAUUCGAUUGUGUGUACAAACAUUUAAGAUGGUCUGUUGCAUUCUUUUGCUGGUGUGUCUGCAAAUUUCCCCAUUGACUCAACGGGCUCGCCACAACUAUCAAAGAAAAACUGCGGCUGGGACACGCUAAUCACGUCAUCUGCAACGCAUUUCUGAUAUUAUCUGUGUUGAUUCUCUCAACUUCACGCAAUUGUCCUAGUAGGGCAACUCUACCGACUCAUCUUUCGUUACUGGUAGACUCUCCACAACUGCCUUGCCACCGAAGAAUCCAGAACCGAGAGGGCUGUAUGGCACUAUCCCAAUUCCUAGUUCCCUAAUGUUCAACAAGGACAGCACAAUUCUUGUCAUACAUACAAAGGGGGGAAGCGAAUACAUGUAGCGUGUGAAAAGAUGGCAAAAAUAGAUGCUAACAUCUUCGUUCUAGGGCAAGUUAAUGCAGACAGAAAAAAUGUAAUGCACCAACAAGCUAAUAUGCUAGCCAUUAUGCACACAUUGUAUAUAUAACAUCGAAUUCAAACC